AGAGCGAACGCUGGCGGCAGGCCUAGCACAUGCAAGUCGAGCGCGUGUAGCAAUACACGAGCGGCAGACGGGAGAGUAACACGUGGGAACGCGCCCUUCGGUUCGGAAUAACUCAGGGAAACUUGCGCUAAUACCGGAUACGCCCUUACGGGGAAAGAUUUAUUGCCGAAGGAACGGCCCGCGUCCGAUUAGCUAGUUGGUGAGGUAACGGCUCACCAAGGCGACGAUCGGUAGCUGGUCUGAGAGGAUGACCAGCCUCACUGGGACUGAGACACGGCCCAGACUCCUACGGGAGGCAGCAGUGGGGAAUAUUGGACAAUGGGCGCAGGCCUGAUCCAGCCAUGCCGCGUGGAUGAUGAAGGCCUUAGGGUUGUAAAGUCCUUUUAACGGGGAGAUAAUGACGGUACCCGUAGAAUAAGCCCGGCUAACUUCGUGCCAGCAGCCGC
rnacentral:rRNA from 1 species